AGAAUCAACGCUGGCGGCGUGCCUAACACAUGCAAGUCGAACGAGAAAGUGGGAGCAAUCCCAUGAGUAAAGUGGCGCACGGGUGAGUAACACGUGACUAACCUACCCUUGAGUGGGGGAUAACCUAGGGAAACCUGGGCUAAUACCGCAUAAUACCUACGGGUCAAAAGGAGCAAUUCGCUUUAGGAGGGGGUCGCGGCAGAUUAGUUAGUUGGCGGGGUAAUGGCCCACCAAGACAGUGAUCUGUA
rnacentral:rRNA from 1 species